AGGAAAGGAGAGAAGGGCACAUGAAGGAUGCCUUGGCUCUCGGAGGCGACGAAGGACGUGACAAGCUGCGAUAAGCUGCGGUUGGAGGCAAAUACUCAUCAAGCCGCAGAUCUCCGAAUGGGGCAACCCGGCGCGCGAAGAGUGCGUCACCGGUCUGUGACCGGAGCGAACCCGGGGAACUGAAACAUCUCAGUACCCGGAGGAAGAGAAAACAAUAGUGAUUGCGCAAGUAGUGGCGAGCGAACGCGCAAUAGCCCAAACCGCCGGCGUGGCGACGCGCCUGGCGGGGUUGUAGGACCGCCGAUAAAGUGAUGGAAUACGGUUAGCCGAACACGCUGGAAAGCGUGGCCGUAGCGGGUGACAGCCCUUUAGGCGAAAACUGUGAUUCCGGGCGAGGCGGCACCUGAGUAGCGCGGGACACGAGAAAUCCUGUGUGAAUCUGCGGGGCCCAUCCCGUAAGGCUAAAUACUACCGAGAGACCGAUAGCGAACCAGUACCGUGAGGGAAAGGUGAAAAGAACCUCG
rnacentral:rRNA from 1 species